CACUGGGUGGUGUAGUGGUAGCACACCCCCAGUGUUAUUGGGAGAACCCAGGUUCAAUCCCUGGUCUGGCCA